rnacentral:rRNA from 1 species
AUUUGGGCUUAGACUCGAAGUAAAGGUUCUCUCUUUUUUUAAUUAACUUUUUUUAAAGUUUUUAUAAAUUAGACAGUUCAAUUAGAUUACUCGAGAGAAACCUGGGUCAGCGACUGGGGUG